rnacentral:misc_RNA from 1 species
UCCGGCUUGACGCCGGCAGUCCCCCGAGAGUCCUCAGCUUUACCUGUUAGUAACACGGGGCAAGGGUUGCGCUCGUUGCGGGACUUAACCCAACAUCUCACGACACGAGCUGACGACAGCCAUGCAGCACCUGUCUCCAGGUUCCUUACGGCACCCCCAAAUCUCUUCAGGGUUCCUGGGAUGUCAAGUCCAGGUAAGGUUCUUCGCGUUGCAUCGAAUUAAAGAACAUGCUCCGCUGCUUGUGCGGGCCCCCGUCAAUUCUUUUGAGUUUUAGCCUUGCGGCCGUACUCCCCAGGCGGGACACUUAACGCGUUGGCUGCGGCACAGAGGGAUUCGACUCCCCCCACACCUAGUGUUCAUCGUUUACGGCUAGGACUAC